rnacentral:rRNA from 1 species
GAUGAACGCUGGCGGCGUGCCUAAUACAUGCAAGUCGAGCGAACGGACGAGAAUCUUGCUUUUCUGAUGUUAGCGGCGGACGGGUGAGUAACACGUGUAUACCCUACUUAUAAGACUGGUAUAACUUCGGGAAACCGGCUCUUAUACCGGAUAAUAUUUUGAACCGCAUUGUUCAAAAGUGAAAGACGGUGUUUCUGUCUCUUAUAGAUGGAUCCCCGCUUCUUUAGCUAGUUGGUAAGGUAACGGCUUAUCAAGGCAACGAUGCAUAGACGACCUGCGAGAGUGGUAGGCGACACUGGAAGUGAGACACGGUCAAGAGUCCUACGGGAGGCAGCAGACGGGAAUGGUCCGCAGUGGGCGAAAGCAUGACGGAGCAGCGCCACGUCAGUGAUGACGGUGCCGCGUUCGUAAUAAUCUGUUAUUAGGGAAGAACAUAUGUGUCAGGAACUGUGCAGAUAUUGACGGUAAUUAAUAAGAAAGCAACGGCUAACUACGUG